CAGCAGCCACGGUAAUACGAAGGGUGCAAGCGUUAAUCGGAAUUACUGGGCGUAAAGCGUGCGUAGGCGGUGAGUUAAGUCUGCUGUGAAAUCCCCGGGCUCAACCUGGGAAUGGCAGUGGAUACUGGCUCGCUAGAGUGUGUCAGAGGAUGGUGGAAUUCCCGGUGUAGCGGUGAAAUGCGUAGAGAUCGGGAGGAACAUCAGUGGCGAAGGCGGCCAUCUGGGACAACACUGACGCUGAGGCACGAGAGCGUGGGGAGCAAACAGGAUUAGAUACCCCCGUAGUCCCUGUCUCUUAUAC
rnacentral:rRNA from 1 species